AUUAGAGCGUAGCUGAUGCAGCGACGCCGCGUGAGGGAUGACGGCCUUCGGGUUGUAAACCUCUUUCAGCAGGGACGAAGCUGACGGGACGGUACCAGCAGAAGAAGGCCCGGCUAACUACAUGACCCCCGGCGAGAUAAUAGGUACGGGGCGAGCGUUGUCCGGAUGGGUUGGGCGUAAACAGAUGUUAUGGGGCUUGUCAGGUCGGUUGGGAGAACCCUAGGCUCAAGUGCGGAAUUGCAGGCCAAACUGCCGGACUUGAGUUGAG
rnacentral:rRNA from 1 species